rnacentral:rRNA from 1 species
AUUGAACGCUAGCGGCAUGCCUUACACAUGCAAGUCGAACGGCAGCACGGGGGCAACCCUGGUGGCGAGUGGCGAACGGGUGAGUAAUACAUCGGAACGUACCCAGUAGUGGGGGAUAACGUAGCGAAAGCUACGCUAAUACCGCAUACGCACUGAGGUGGUAAGCGGGGGAUCGCAAGACCUCGCGCUAUUGGAGCGGCCGAUGGCGGAUUAGCCAGUUGGUGGGGUAAGAGCCUACCACGGCGACGAUCUGUAGCUGGUCUGAGAGGACGGCCAGCCACAGUGGGACUGAGACUCGGCUCAGACUCCUGCGGGAGGCAGCAGUGGGGAAUUUUGGACAAUGGGGGCAACCCUGCAUCAGCAAUGCCGCGUGUGUGAAGAAAGCCUUCGGGUUGUAAAGCACUUUUGGCGGGAACGAAAGGGCCUGGGCUAAUACCCUGGGUUGAUGACGGUACCCGCAGAAUAAGCACCGGCUAACUACGUGCCAGCCGCCGCGGUAAAAC